CUUAAAUGAAUUUAAGCUACUUUACAGUGACUGCCAACACUAUUUCAUUAUCUUGAAUCAACAAAAGCAAACCAGAAUUUCCAAACACCACCAGUGGGAGUGUAAAAUGGUUCAAUCAUCUCAGAGAACUGUUUGGCAGUUUUGAACAAAGUUAAACUUCAUCUACACUACAACCCAGAAAGUCCUAGCUGUACUCCCAAGAGAAAUGAGUAUAUAUGUCCCUAAAACUUUGUGCAAGGAUAUUCAUAGCAGUCUUAUUUAUAAUAGACAAAAAAGGAAUACCACUUAAUGUCCAUCCACAGGAAAAUGACUAAACUAUUUUAUUCAAAUAAGGAAUACUAUUCAACAACUGAAAGGAAUGAGCUACUGAUAUACACAGCAACAUGCAUUAACGUCAUAGAUAUUAUCUGAGCAAAAGAAGUCAAUACACACAAUAUGCUUUCACGUAUAUUAAGCUGUAGAAUAGGUACAAUACACCCAUGGUGGUGGGUCAUUGGAUGCGAAGGAACAUGAGAGAAUUUCCAGGAGUGAGAGAAGUGUUGUAUAUCUUGAUCUAGGUGUUGGUUACACAGGUAUAUGUGAAAGCUCUUCUAAGUGUACAUUUGUAAUUUCUGCAUUCUACUUAAGAAAAUUAUACUUAAUAUAGUACUACUGGCUGGCAAGAAAAGCCAUUUCCCUCACCUAAAAGCAUCUGAAUACCCGUUACUCCCUAUAACCUUUCUCCCACUGGCUCUCCCAACACUUGGUAGAUGCCUUGUUGCCUGGGAGGAUCUGAAGAGUUGGGUGGAUUCCAGCCAAGGAGAGACAGGGUGACUGACCUCAUUUCUUUACUUUGGAUGGAGCUGUGUCUAUGCUGCUUGGUAAAACAGCACAAAUGUAAACGAGGUGUAAACUGCUUUCACAUCUCAUUUAGGGAACAGAUGAGGCGUGAAAUGCAUUUCACAGGCACAAGGACUGGAGGGGGAUGCUUAGCAUGGUGCAAUGUAGAACAUUUGUUCCUCUUCCCUCAGGGAUGCUGGAUUAUUUCUGAACAUGGCUACUGUGGGGGUGGGAGUACAGGAGGAAGGUGAAGGGCCUGAGUCUCCUGUACUUAGGAUCCUUCCUUCUUUCCUAUGCCUGACCACCUCCCACAUAUCUGUUAAAGGACCUCCCUGCUCACCACGCACUCACUGAUUCAGUGGCCUUUUCCUCUGGUUACCCACAGUACUUGGCUCAGUCUCAGACUCUACUUAUCUCCCUCUAUCUGGACCAGGAAUGCAUAUUGUUUUUGGAUUCAGCAGUUACUCAAUUAACCCUUAAGGAAUUCAUGUGAAUUGAGGCAGAGGACAGACACAGGGAAGGAGAAUCAUGUAUCCAGGGAUGGUAUUUUAGCAGUUGAACCAUCUCCAAAUGCCCAAAAGAAAUAGAAAGUUCCAAAGACAACUUACAAGUUUAGGAGAUUUAUAUCAUCUUAUAUCUCUCAAAGACACACAUACACGUCCUUCAGGGCAAGCUUACUUAUAAAGAUAAGUGUGGGAUUCUAUGUUUUCUUUUAUCACUAAAUUUAAACCUAAAUUCCCAAUCCCAUUGCCUGAUAACAGUUGCAUAGUCUCUGUGUCAGCCAUUACUUAGAUAUAGAAUGUUGGCUCCUAACAUGACCCUAACAAGGAUGAUUCCAAGCUAGAAUGCAAUGAAGCUAUCAUACUAAAGAAACUUUGCUUAGAAAAUUCCAGAGAAACUGACAUGACAUCGUAUUGUGAAAUGAACACUAAGAUUCAGAAAAUCUGAGAUCAAGCCUAGCCAGAAACUUGACCUUGAAAAACUGCUUAACCUCUCCAGACCUCCGUUUCCUCCAAUGCAAGAUAUGAUCAAUUCUAGAGCGCAGCUUGUACUCACCCUAUGACCCAAGAUUGCUUUGCUAGAAAUAUAUCUCAGAUAGGUAACUGUUGCGAAGGGGGUAUAUUUCCCCUCUACCUCUCUUGAGUUCUUAUGUCUGGCCUGAGAAUAAAUUUGACCCAAAACAGAUUAAGAAGAAAAAACUAAACAAAUUUUCAUUCAUGUGCGUGGAGGUCUCAUAGAAAUGGGACCUAAGAGUGGUCAAGCAGGCAGCUUUUACACUUUUUAGACAAAUAAACCAUUGGUUUGUGAGGAAUUCACAGGACAAAGAAACUUAGGUUUGGGGUGGCCUGUUAGUGAAGAAUUUAAACAGAGUUGGGCUUGGGAUAAUCAAUGAAAGAAGUAAUUUACAAGGUUUGUAUUUUAGCCCUGAUUUCCCGAUCUUAGACAACAAGGGUGUCCUUUUACAUCCAGAUGCAGGAAGUGCAUCUUUCACCUGAGAAGUUUAUUUAUUUACUUAUUUUACUCUUUAUUUAUUUAUUGCUUUUUAGGGCUGCACCCAUGGCAUAUGAAGGUUCCCAGGCUAGGGGUUGAAUCGGAGCUGUAGCUGUCCACCUACGCUACAGCCAAAGCAAUACCAGAUCCAAGCCACAUCUGCAACCUACACCACAGCUCACGGCAAUGCCAGAUCCUUAACCCACAGAGAGAGGCCAGGGAUGGAACCUGCGACCUGAUGGAUGCUAGUCAGAUUUGUUAACUGCUGAGCCAUGAUGGGAACUCCUCACCUGAGAAAUUUAUUUCCUGCUUCCAGGGAAUCAGGAAGGAGUGUCAGAGUAUUCCUUUUAUAUUGGCUUUUCCUUAAGUAACUUUAAUUCAGAAUAAUUAAUAUGCCCUUGAGGCACAUUUUGGGGUAGUCUGCCUUGGGCCCCAACAUACCCAAAUCCAGAUACACAAAGAUCUCCAACAUUGCUUAUAAAAAACAAAGAGUUGGAAAUAAUUUGAAUGCUUAUCAAUGUGAGCAUGGAUAGACAAUGUUUGCAUAAAAAAUAUACUCACAUAACCUACUUAGAUGAGUCUAAAAAAACAGAAGUUUGAGUGAAAAAUGAAAGAUGUGGCUUGGAAUUUAUAAUACAAUAAAUAGCCAUUUAGGUAAAGGAAUAUUCAAGAUCGAAGGGAAUGAGAUGCUUUAGAGAUGAAAGAGACAAAAAUAAUACAAAAUAUUGAGUAAAAUAGAGAGAUCCCAAAUAUAAAGUUCUUAUCAUCUAGAAAUACUAAAUCUUGGUCUAGCAAAACAUAGUCAGAAAAAGAUAGGCAACUCUUUCUGGGUGGACAAACUUUUAUUUUCCCUGCUUAUCUCGAGUCAGAGUCAAAAAUCCCAAUAUUUUCAAUGGCUUUAAAUAUGGCCUCACAUUUUGACCAGAUCAUCCAUUUCAUUUGGAAAAAGGUUAGGACUCCAAGUGUUAACUAACAUAUGCUGCACAAUGUAAGUGGUGGAUUGUCACAGAUUUUGCUCAGUAUUGACAAUCAAGGCAUUUUUGUUGUUAAUGGAAUGUUAAUUGGGACCAUGCUAACAUUUAAUUAAUUUUAAGUACAAUAG
rnacentral:lncRNA from 1 species